rnacentral:rRNA from 1 species
AACGAACGCUGGCGGCAUGCCCAACACAUGCAAGUCGAACGAGACCAUCGGGUCUAGUGGCUCACGGGUGCGUAACGCGUGGGACCCUGCACUUAGGUUCGGAAUACCUCCCCGUAAGGGGUGCUAAUACAGGAUAAUGUCUUCGGACAACAGAUUUAUCGAAUUUGGAUGGGCACGCGUUGGUUUAGCUAGUUGGUAGGGUAAAAGCCUACCACGGCGUCGAUACAUAGCUGGUCAGAGAGGCAGAGCAGCCACACUUGGACGGUGACACGGUCCAGACUCCUACGGGAGGCAGCAGAGGCGAAUAUUGGACAACGGGCUAAAUCCUGAACCAGCAAGGCUGGUUGAGUGAUUAUGUCCUUAGAGUAGUAAAGCUCGUUUACCCGCCGUGAUAAUGACGGUACCGAGAGAAUAAGCUCCGGCUAACUCCGUG